AGGAAUGUAUAGCAAUUGCUACUUGCAUCAUUGUAAAAUUGAUGCAAGAUCGACUAUGUUGAAUAAAAUUCUAGGUAGAAUUUUGAUAAUGACAUUAUCUGCCUAUGUGUCUUGACCAAAUUACGUGCCAGCAGUCGCGGUAAUACGUAGAAGACUAGUGUUAUUCAUGUGUAAUCGGUUUAAAGGGUACCUAGACGGCAGAUCAAGCUUAUAAUAAAUUAUAAAAGGACUAAUCUGCUAGAGUUACUUGUGAGGGGGCUAUAAAGUACUAAUGGUGUAGAGAUGAAAUUCUGUGAUACCUUUUUUCGAAAGAAAAGCUAUGGCACGGGUAUAGGCGAAGGCAUCCCCUUAUGUGAUAACUGACGUUGAGGGACGAAGGCUUCGUAUAACGAACAGGAUUAGAUACCCUGGUAGUUGAGGCAGAAAAUGAUGAAUGUCAUAGAUUAGAUAUAUAAGUUUAUUCUAUAAAUGAAAGUGUAAGCAUUCCACCUCAAGAGUAAUUUGGCAACAUUGGAACUGAAAUCAUUAGACCGUUUCUGAAACCAGUAGUGAAGUAUGUUGUUUAAUUUGACUGUCCGCAAAAAACCUUACCACAAUUUGAAUAUUUAUAUUGUUUAUUGUUAUCUCAUUAAUUUUCUUCUUUUUUUCCAUAAAUAACUAAACAAUUAAAUUAAAAAACAAUAAUAGAAAUAGAUAAUUAAAAAAACUUUAUAGAUGUAAUAAAGAAAAUUAAUGUAGAGGCAAUAAGAUAUAUUUACAAGCGUUGCACGGCUGUCUUCAGUUAAUGUCGUGAGACUAUGGUUAGUUCCAUUAAUUAACGUAAACCCUUACUUUAUUUUUAUAUAAAGUAGUUCUCCACUAUAUAGGAUAUGAU
rnacentral:rRNA from 1 species